rnacentral:rRNA from 1 species
GUGAGGAAUUUUGCGCAAUGGGGGCAACCCUGACGCAGCGACGCCGCGUGGAGGACGAAGUCUUUCGGGAUGUAAACUCCUGUCAGUGGGGACGAUAAUGACGGUACCCACAGAGGAAGCACCGGCUAACUCCGUGCCAGCAGCCGCGGUAAGACGGAGGGUGCAAGCGUUGUUCGGAAUUACUGGGCGUAAAGCGUAUGUAGGCGGCAAGUUAAGUUCAAUGUUAAAGCCCACGGCUCAACCGAGGAGAUGCAUUGAAUACUGGCUAGCUAGAGGGUGUUAGAGGAAGACGGAAUUCCCAGUGUAGCGGUGAAAUGCGUAGAUAUUGGGAGGAACAUCGGUAGCGAAAGCGGUCUUCUGGGACAUACCUGACGCUGAGGUACGAAAGCGUGGGGAGCAAACGGGAUUAGAAACCCCGAUAGUCC